GUCCUCCGGCUGGCGCAGCAGCAGGAAGAGCAGGAAGUCGGAGAUGAGCGCGUGGGCUUCGGGGUGCUGCCGCAGAUAGCUGGCGUGGCCGAGCCGGAGCUCCUCCUGGCAGGGGACAGAGCCCGAGCCUCAGCCGGACGGGACCCCCGCGCCCCAGGAGCCCCCAGCCGCUCGCUCCAAGGAGAGCUAAGGGGCGCUGGAGCCUUCUAGCCCCUACGGGUGCCUGGAGUGCAACACAACAUGUGAGAGUGAGAAUCUUCCCAGACCGCCUGCUAUGGACUGAAUUGUCUCUCUAACCCCCAGUGUGGUGGUAUUUGGAGAAAGGCCAUGUGAGGACACAUUGAGAAGGCACUUGUCUGCAAGCUAGGAAGACAGCCCUCACCAGAAACCAACCCUGAUGGCACCAUGAUCUUGGACUUCCUGCCUUCCAGCAAAUAUAUUUCUCUUGAAGCCA
rnacentral:lncRNA from 10 species